GUAGGUGGCAAGCGUUGUCCGGAUUUACUGGGCGUAAAGAGCGCGCAGGCGGUCGUACAAGUCGCGUGUGAAAGCCCCCGGCUCAACUGGGGAGGGUCACGCGAUACUGUUCGACUCGAAGGCAGGAGAGGGAAGCAGAAUUCCCGGUGUAGUGGUGAAAUGCGUAGAUAUCGGGAGGAAUACCAGUGGCGAAGGCGGCUUCCUGGCCUGUUCUUGACGCUGAGGCGCGAAAGCUAGGGUAGCAAACGGGAUUAGAUACCCCGGUAGUCCUAGCCGUAAACGAUGGACACUAGGUGUUGGUGGUAUCAACCCCGCCAGUGCCGAAGCUAACGCAUUAAGUGUCCCGCCUGGGGAGUACGGCCGCAAGGCUA
rnacentral:rRNA from 1 species